rnacentral:lncRNA from 1 species
GAAGUUCCAGGAUGAAGGAUUACAAGAGGUUUGUAAGAAAACUCCAGGGGUACAGUGGUUCAGAAAUGGACAUAACAGCCUAGAGGAAGACCUGGGAGAAGCCCUUGAAUAACCAUUGGUCCAUUGUGCAUCUAGGGUCCUUAACAAAAAGAUAAAAGACAAGUGUAUAAUAUGUUGGAAAAAAAAUUUCCCAUUCCCACACAGUCUAAUGAGAAAAUAUCAGACAAUCCAAAUUGAGGAGCAUUCUACAAAAUGUCCAGUACUCUUCAAAAGUGUCAAGAUCCCCCAAAACAAGACAAGACUAAACAAGACAAGACUAAAAAACUGUCAUAGAUCAGAGAAGAAUGGAGAGACCUGGUGACUAAAUGCUUUGGGCUAUCCUGGAUUGGAUUCUAGAAUAGCAAAUAAGCAACUUUCAGUAAAUACUUUUGUAAUUGCCCAUGAGUUGUCAAGCACUCAUGAGAUGAAGUUCCAACUCUACAGAUGAAAGCCCUGUUUUUGAAUCAAGCACUUCAUGAGUAAGGAUUUCACAAAGCUGCAAAAUCUGCUCUUGAGAACCCCUGACAACUAAAUAUUCCAUGGCUUCCACUGAUAAUCAUGCUGCUUGUCAUAUACCAGGAGGUAUCAACAAUCACCAAGCUCUCGUGCAUUAACUACCUGUUUCACCUCCAUUGAGGAUAUGUCUCAGGUCAAUAAUUGGAUCUAUGAAACCUGGCUGUGAUAAAUACCAAGGAAUUCUAUGCCAGUUCACAGCAGUAAGAGUGCAGAAGUGCCAGCAUGAUUCUUGAGGCUUAAGACAAGUGAAAGAAUGACCAGAGAUGAUAUCAAUCAUCAGUUCUUCAAACCUUU